rnacentral:rRNA from 1 species
UACGUAAGUUGCGAGCGUUGUUCGGAAUUAUUGGGCGUAAAGGGCAUGCAGGCGGCUGUGAAAGCCUGAUGUGAAAUGCCGGGGCUCAACCCCGGAACUGCAUUGGGAACUUCAUAGCUAGAGUUACUGAGGGGCAGCCGGAAUUCCAGGUGUAGGGGUGAAAUCUGUAGAUAUUUGGAAGAACACCAAUGGCGAAGGCAGGCUGCCAGCAGAUAACUGACGCUGAGAUGCGAAGGUGCGGGGAGCGAAC